AUGUCCCGUCGGGACAAGGCGGAGGUGGCAGAGCGGCGGGAUGUCCCGUCGGGACAAGGCGGAGGUGGCAGAGCGGCGGGAUGUCCCGUCGGGACAAGGCGGACGUCGCAGAGAGGCGGGAUGUCCCGUCGGGACAAGGCGGAGGUGGCAGAGCGGCGGGAUGUCCCGUCGGGACAAGGCGGACGGUCGCAGAGCGGCGGGAUGUCCCGUCGGGACAAGGCGGAGGUGGCAGAGCGGCGGGAUGUCCCGUCGGGACAAGGCGGAGGUGGCAGAGCGGCAGGAUGUCCCGUCGGGACAAGGCGGAGGUGGCAGAGAGGCGGGAUGUCCCGUCGGGACAAGGCGGAGGUGGCAGAGCGGCGGGAUGUCCCGUCGGGACAAGGCGGACGUCGCAGAGCGGCGGGAUGUCCCGUCGGGACAAGGCGGAGGUGGCAGAGCGGCGGGAUGUCCCGUCGGGACAAGGCGGAGGUGGCAGAGCGGCGGGAUGUCCCGUCGGGACAAGGCGGAGGUGGCAGAGAGGCGGGAUGUCCCGUCGGGACAAGGCGGAGGUGGCAGAGCGGCGGGAUGUCCCGUCGGGACAAGGCGGAGGUGGCAGAGCGGCGGGAUGUCCCGUCGGGACAAGGCGGAGGUGGCAGAGAGGCGGGAUGUCCCGUCGGGACAAGGCGGAGGUGGCAGAGCGGCGGGAUGUCCCGUCGGGACAAGGUGGACGUCGCAGAGCGGCGGGAUGUCCCGUCGGGACAAGGCGGAGGUGGCAGAGCGGCGGGAUGUCCCGUCGGGACAAGGCGGAGGUGGCAGAGCGGCGGGAUGUCCCGUCGGGACAAGGUGGACGUCGCAGAGUGGCGGGAUGUCCCGUCGGGACAAGGCGGAGGUGGCAGAGCGGCGGGAUGUCCCGUCGGGACAAGGUGGACGUCGCAGAGUGGCGGGAUGUCCCGUCGGGACAAGGCGGAGGUGGCAGAGCGGCGGGAUGUCCCGUCGGGACAAGGCGGAGGUGGCAGAGCGGCGGGAUGUCCCGUCGGGACAAGGUGGACGUCGCAGAGCGGCAGGAUGUCCCGUCAGGACAGGCCCUGGGGCAGCGGCUCCGCUGAGGGACUAAGAUCCCGAGCAGGCCGGGCGGCGGCUCACGCCUGA
rnacentral:lncRNA from 1 species